AUUGAACGCUGGCGGCAGGCUUAACACAUGCAAGUCGAGCGGGCGAGGUUGCUUCGGUAACUUAGCUAGCGGCGGACGGGUGAGUAAUGCUUAGGAAUCUGCCUAUUAGUGGGGGACAACAUUCCGAAAGGGAUGCUAAUACCGCAUACGUCCUACGGGAGAAAGCAGGGGCUCUUUAUGACCUUGCGCUAAUAGAUGAGCCUAAGUCGGAUUAGCUAGUUGGUGGGGUAAAGGCCUACCAAGGCGACGAUCUGUAGCGGGUCUGAGAGGAUGAUCCGGCACACUGGGACUGAGACACGGCCCAGACUCCUACGGGAGGCAGCAGUGGGGAAUAUUGGACAAUGGGGGGAACCCUGAUCCAGCCAUGCCGCGUGUGUGAAGAAGGCCUUUUGGUUGUAAAGCACUUUAAGUGGGGAGGAGGCUUACCUGGUUAAUACCUGGGCUAAGUGGACGUUACCCACAGAAUAAGCACCGGCUAACUCUGUGCCAGCAGCCGCGGUAAGAC
rnacentral:rRNA from 1 species